UCGCAUGAGGGAUGGAAAUGGCAUCUCCCGAUUUAGAAAAACAAGGCUUUUUGCCGUAGUUUUUGUUAAUCUGGAAUACAAUGGACAGCCCGACCUUGU
rnacentral:sRNA from 1 species